CGAGCGCGCGAGUGAGGAUCGCCGGCGGGGCUUGCUCCGUCGGAGGAAAGUCCGAGCUCCGUAGGGCAGGGUGCCGGGUAACGCCCGGGCGCCGUGAGGCGAUGGAAAGUGCCACAGAAAGCAAACCGCCGAUGGCCGCCGCGAGGCGGCACAGGCAAGGGUGAAAGGGUGCGGUAAGAGCGCACCGGGCCUCUGGCAACAGGGGUCGCAUGGUAAACCCCACCCGGAGCAAGGCCAUGUAGGGGACGAGGGGCUGCCCGCCCCGUCUGAGUCCCGGGUAGGCCGCUCGAGGCCGUCGGUAACGGCGGUCCCAGAUGAAUGAUUCUCCCCCGCGAGGGGACAGAACUCGGCUUAUUCCGCGCGCUCGCUCC
rnacentral:RNase_P_RNA from 1 species